CGUAGGUGGCAAGCGUUGUCCGGAAUUAUUGGGCGUAAAGCGCGCGCAGGCGGUCCUUUAAGUCUGAUGUGAAAGCCCACGGCUCAACCGUGGAGGGUCAUUGGAAACUGGGGGACUUGAGUGCAGGAGAGAAGAGUGGAAUUCCACGUGUAGCGGUGAAAUGCGUAGAGAUGUGGAGGAACACCAGUGGCGAAGGCGACUCUUUGGCCUGUAACUGACGCUGAGGCGCGAAAGCGUGGGGAGCAAACAGGAUUAGAUACCCUGGUAGUCCACGCCGUAAACGAUGAGUGCUAAGUGUUAGAGGGUUUCCGCCCUUUAGUGCUGCAGUAAACGCAUUAAGCACUCCGCCUGGGAGUACGGCCGCAAGGCUG
rnacentral:rRNA from 1 species